GAUGAACGCUGGCGGCGUGCCUAAUACAUGCAAGUCGAGCGAACAGAUGAGGAGCUUGCUCCUCUGACGUUAGCGGCGGACGGGUGAGUAACACGUGGAUAACCUACCUAUAAGACUGGGAUAACUUCGGGAAACCGGAGCUAAUACCGGAUAAUAUAUUGAACCGCAUGGUUCAAUAGUGAAAGACGGUUUUGCUGUCACUUAUAGAUGGAUCCGCGCCGCAUUAGCUAGUUGGUAAGGUAACGGCUUACCAAGGCAACGAUGCGUAGCCGACCUGAGAGGGUGAUCGGCCACACUGGAACUGAGACACGGUCCAGACUCCUACGGGAGGCAGCAGUAGGGAAUCUUCCGCAAUGGGCGAAAGCCUGACGGAGCAACGCCGCGUGAGUGAUGAAGGUCUUCGGAUCGUAAAACUCUGUUAUUAGGGAAGAACAAAUGUGUAAGUAACGAUGCACGUCUUGACGGUACCUAAUCAGAAAGCCACGGCUAACUACGUGC
rnacentral:rRNA from 1 species